UAAUGCCAUUAGGUAUCUGAUGCUCAGUGUGGUUUAUGGCUGUGCGUCUCGUUAGAAUGGCAGAUAAGGAGGAGAGGAGCAGGUCUUGCGACGCUGGUUGCUCUUCUUCCAUGAGCUUCCUGUUACUUUUACCCUUACCCUGCUCACAUUU